CAGUAGCCGCGGGAAUACGUAGGGUGCGAGCGUUAAUCGGAAUUACUGGGCGUAAAGCGUGCGCAGGCGGUUUUGUAAGACAGGCGUGAAAUCCCCGGGCUCAACCUGGGAAUGGCGCUUGUGACUGCAAAGCUAGAGUGCGGCAGAGGGGGAUGGAAUUCCGCGUGUAGCAGUGAAAUGCGUAGAUAUGCGGAGGAACACCGAUGGCGAAGGCAAUCCCCUGGGCCUGCACUGACGCUCAUGCACGAAAGCGUGGGGAGCAAACAGGAUUAGAUACCCCUGUAGUCCCUGUCUCUUAUAA
rnacentral:rRNA from 1 species